UACGUAGGAUGCAAGCGUUGUCCGGAUUUAUUGGGUUUAAAGGGUGCGUAGGCGGUUUAUUAAGUUAGUGGUGAAAACGUUCGGCUUAACCGGAUACCCGCCAUUGAUACUGAUAGACUUGAGUGCGACAGAGGGUGUUGGAAUGUGUGGUGUAGCGGUGAAAUGCUUAGAUAUCACGCAGAACACCAAUUGCGAAGGCAGAUGCCUAUGUCGUAACUGACGAUGAGGCACGAAAGAGUGGGGAGCAAACAGG
rnacentral:rRNA from 1 species